UCUGGUUUCCGGUUGAUUGUCCACCGGGUUUGGGGAUUCAGCUUCUCCCCGAGAUAGCGUCGGGAUGUGAAAGCGCAGCCUGGGAUCCAGAGCCCCCAGGCGUGGACGGUGGGCUGGUCUGGGAGGUUUCAUUUCCAGUAAAUUGCUUUCUGGAGGCAGCAUUUACAUUCUGUCCCCAGUCCUAUGUGUGUUGCAAGGCAAUUCUUGAUGGCAUUUCUAUACUUUUUGGACUCUAUGUUUAAGUAAGUUCGAAGAGCAAACAGAAGCUUGGAAACUAGACCUAAUAGCACUUAGAAAUGUCUCUCUCCCCAGACACAUUCCAGGACAGGAAAUUCCUCCUCUCCCUGGAGAGAUCUGCUUACAUUCUAGAGGAAAGAAGAAUUGGGACAAUAACACAGAUCAGGAAAAACGAAUAGACAAGGAGAAUCUUAAGAAAUGACUCCCUAGAUCCAGCCCACAGUCCGAGGGAGGGGAUUAUACAAGGAAGUGAAUACCAGACAGUGUGGAUUAUUUGUGGCCAUCCCAGAGGACUGGGGACAAAGGUCAGUUUUGAGCAUGCAGAUGAGGGCAAUGCACUAGGAUGGGGUGAAGAAACAGAUUGGAAGGAACUGGGUUUCUGAAUGACCACAUGGAGCCAAGUUGCCUGCCAACCUGCUCUGCUGACUCCAGACUGUAAUGUGAGAAAUAAGCCACUGAAUUAUUACUGGCUCCCUGUGACAGCAGCCUAGGUUUUACCCCUGCUAAUACAUUUACCAAGUUAAGUAACCUCUUUGAGUGUCACUUUCGUUAUCUGUAAAGGGAGAAUAAUGUUGAUACAUCCCUUGGAAGGCUGUGGUGAUAAAUAUACAAGAUAAUCCAGACAAAGUGCUUGGUCCAGUGCCCUUCUCAUGGUAAUUUUUUAAAUAAGUGGUUUCUACUAGAAUGAAGAAUGAAGAUAAUUCCAUCUUUGGUUUGGAUGAUGGAUAUAGAGCUAGGAAAGCAGAUGGAGUUGGUGAACUGACAGAAAGACCUGAACUGAUUGAAACAGACUUGCCAUGAGUGGAACCCUAGUAUUCAUAUUUUUUAAAAGUUCCCCAGAUAGCUCUGGUGAGUACCUUGGUUUGGAUACACGUACUUUAUAUUGGCUCUGUAUGUCAUAUAGUAUUCCAUUAAUUAAAUGCCUUAAUGCUUUCCUUUGAGAGAAAGAUCAAUCUAGAAUUCCUGAUAUUCCCAUAAGUGCUAGAAAAGGGAAGUAUAAUAGGCCAAAUUAGUCAUAUUCAAUGAAACACAUUUCUUGUUGACACUGAUGUCGAAAACAAACAAACAAAAAAACUGCAUGAGAGACUUCUAUUUGGGGCGGUAUUAUCAUCUACAUUCUGCAAAGAUUCUUCUUAUUAGAUCCUGCAGAAGACUUGAGUUUUCUGGCACUUCUGGGCUCAGGAGAUAAGGGAAAUCUUCAAGCCCAUAAAUCCAACCCAAGCAAACAAAGCUGUGAGCUGAAACUUGGGAGGUGCGUUGCGAGCAGACACGUGGAGUGAGGCUGCCUUACAUGCUAAAUCAGCACCGAGACAAGGAGACCGACUCCUGAGUCUGCUUACAGUUGAGGGGAUGAACCUGAGGCUCCAGGUGAAGCUGGAGAUCCUGAAGGGAGCCAAAUCGGUCCCAGAUCAGUGGUGUCCUUGGGCUAUUGGCUGAAGCAAAUGUGAAUCAUCUCUGGAGGAGAGCAUGCCCCACAUAAGGGCCUAGGAGUUCAAGGGAUAAAGAUAAACCAAAUAUGAGCUGAUAAGUGAAGACCAACAAACACACAAGGGAACACGCCCUCACAAGUGAAGAAAGAAACCCAAAGGACAUCAGAUACUGCAGUUCUCAUUUUCCAAACAACAUAACUCUGUAGACAGUUUUUUUUUUAAAAAAACAGCCUUAUUGAGAUAUACUUCACAUACUGUACAAUUUACCCUUUUAACCCAUUUAAAGUGAGCAAGUCAAUGGUUUUUAGUAUAUUCACAGAUAUGUGCAAGCAUCACCAGAGUCAAUUUUAGAACAUUUUCAUCACCUCAAAAAAAAAAUUCCAUAUCCUUUAGCUGUCAUCACUGU